rnacentral:rRNA from 1 species
UAAGACCUCGCGUUAUUGGAGCGGCCGAUGCCGGAUUAGCUAGUUGGUGGGGUAAAAGCCCACCAAGGCGACGAUCCGUAGCUGGUCUGAGAGGACGACCAGCCACACUGGGACUGAGACACGGCCCAGACUCCUACGGGAGGCAGCAGUGGGGAAUUUUGGACAAUGGGCGCAAGCCUGAUCCAGCCAUUCCGCGUGAGUGAAGAAGGCCUUCGGGUUGUAAAGCUCUUUCGCAAGGAAAGAAAACUUAUCU